rnacentral:rRNA from 1 species
UUGAAAGGGAAACGAUUGAAGUCAGUCGUACCAGCGGGAAUCAACCUUUCGAGUGGGGGUUUUGGAGUUUUGAAGAGUGUCAAAACCUUUGAGAUUUCAAAAUUUUCGCUCCUUUGGUGUACUUUCUCGUGGGUAGGUUAACAUCGAUUUUGAUCAUCAUAAAAAGAUUGGAGGAAUGUAGCUUCGAUCUUGUAUUGAAGUGUUAUAGCCUUUGGUAAAUGUGAUGAUUAGGAUCGAGGAUUGCAACGAAUACCCUUUUGGGCUAUCCGCCUGAUCUCUGAUACGUGGCCUUGGUAUCGAAAGCGUGCUUAUGGUAUUGAGGUAUUACGGUCAAAAGGUUAGAACGGAUUACAUUCGUUAAGGAUGUUGACGUA